ACCAAAUAUGGCCACUUUCACACGCUUUUUCAGCAUUGGCUUGAGUCACGAAGAUGAUGUUUUAUUAACGUUAGGACGGUGAGACAAGGUGAACAAAUUGUUUGCAUUAGAAUGCAAAGUUUGGAGAAGCGCUUUGAAGCUGUUCAGAGGAGCAGGAUACAGCAGGAACAGACAGAAAACGGUGUCCUGGUACCGAAGGGGGAAACACAGUGAGUCAUCAGUACACAGUCGCAGGCAGGAUUAUCGCUGGAUGACUGUGUGACCGCGCUCCCGCGGCAGAGGCAGAGCCAUUACGGGAAUGCCCGAGUGUCCGGCGGAGCGCACGCCCCCAUUGCCACAGCGUGACCGCAGCCUGGCCAGGAAUGUUCCACCACCCCUUUAGCAGGUCAUCAAAGCAAGAACCCCCAUCGACCCCGUCGGAGUUAACCACCCUGCUGUAGAACCCGUUCGUUCGUUCGUUAGUCGGACGUCUGCUCUAGACCCCGCCCAUCCCCGGUAUGGCCCCUGACCCCAGGCGUGCCCAGACUGUUCCACCCUUCCAUGGUAUGGCCUCUACCGCCGGCAUGCCUGGGCUGUUCCACCCAUCCAUGGUAUGGCCUCUACCGCCGGCAUGCCUGGGCUGUUCCACCCAUCCAUGGUAUGGCCUCUACCGCCGGCAUGCCUGGGCUGUUCCACCCAUCCCAGGUAUGGGCCAUACCCCUGGCGUGCCCGGAUUGUUUCUGUUUCUCGUCUGCAUUUGGCUGGAAUGAACCGUGCAGGUACCAGAGCUAAGGUGGCAGUGAAGCUGGCGUUCGACUCCGCCCGGUUAUUUUUAAACUCCCGUGGGACAGCGGUGAACUUUUAUUGCGCUUCGAUGACAUGUAGACGGUCUUGCGUUGUUGAGGGUAUGGUUACACUGGCCUUUCACAAUAGGCUUCUGGGACCAAAAAAAGCACGGUUUGAGUGGGUCAUUAAUUCUCUAAUUAUUUUUCACUGAUGUUCUGCUAGAAGAAUGCCUUUUGACUGCCAGAGAGUUUGAAAGACCCAUCUGAUUCAAAAAACACAAUGUGUGUGGCGUGCUUGCACUGGAAAUUGAACUCUGACGAAACUCAAAUGUUGCAAACACUUUGUCUCGCCCAGAUGUGAAAAAUUUGUCACAAAUGCCGAAUUCUAUAACUUGUGAAAGCCAGAGAGAGGGUCCAUCCUUGACUUGUAAUAGCAUUCAUAAAAAUAUAAUAUGAAAAAGCUUCUGAUGAAAUAGAAUAGCCUGUGGAAAGUGGAAAAAAAAAUUGUAAAAGUGAAAGUGUAAAAAUUGCACAAUUGUUUAUAUGUACUCCCUCAACUUCAGAUGUGAAAGCGAAAGUCUGUCUUAGGCCCUGUUUACACUUGGUUUUAAAAUGUGUUUCGGUGAUCCAAACACAAGUGGACAGCUGAGACACAUCGCUGUUCACACCUGUGUCUAUCAUGCGUCUUACAACGUAAACAGGGUCUUGUACACUUAUACACUACACUUAUACAUAAAUGACCGAACAUAUCUGGACACCCUUUGGUCUGGGGCUGUUUCUCAUGGUUAGUUCCAGUAAAGGCAAUUAUUAAUGCUAUAGCAUACAGUGACAUUCUAGAUGAUUCUGUACUUCCCCAACAGUUUGGGGAAGGCCCUUUCCUGUUUCAGCAUGACAGUGCUCCUGGGCACACAGCAUGGUCCAUAUAGAAAUGGAUUUGUCAAGAACGGUGUAGGAAAACUUGACUGGCCUGCUCAGAGCCCUGUACCUCAACACCAUCCAAUGCCUUUGGGAUCAAUUGGAAAGCCAACUGCGAGCCAGGCCUAAUUGCCCAAUCAGUGCCCAACUAACUAGUGCUCUUCUGGCUGAAUGGAAGCAAAUCUGUGCAGCAAUGCUCCAAUAUCUAGUAUAAAGCCUUGCCAGAAGAGUGCAGGUUGUUAUAGCAGCAAAGGGUGGACCAACUCCAUAUUAAUGCCGAUUAAUUUUGGAUGAGAUGUUGGAUGUCAGAUGUCCACAUACUUUUGGCCAUGUAGUGUAUUUGAAUAAUCAAUGAAAAGGUCAUUACAAUUACCGGGGUUGGUGUGAAAAAGGAAGGAUGAAAUUAAGAGAUGGGAGAUGGAACAACAAAAGUAGAAAGGGAGGUCCAGGAAGAAGCUCGAGAAAGAGGAGGGAGGGUACAGAAAUGAAUGUUGUAUAGAGCCUGAAUGCAUCUACUAAGACAUCUGAAGGAUACUGAAAUCUGAGAAAAAUGUAAGUUACUGUUGCACUGUUUGACAGUGAAAUAACAUUGUAAGGUUAUUUCUAUAGCAGGCCUUACAAGGAAUCUGGAAGCACAUGAUAUCUCACUAUUUAAAAAUUCUUUGG